CCCGUUUCUAGCUCGUAUCGUCAAGGAAGUAUUUCCUGGAAAGGACUGUGGGGUGUGUUAAAUGUUUUUGUCAGUCUAAUUAAAAAUAUAGUGUUUCUUGUUCUUAUUACCUGCUAAGUGUACCAUUAAAUGACACACAGAGGACUGAUUAGCUUACUAACGCAGAAAAUGGAUAAAAUAACAAGAGUACUGAUACCCAUUACAGUGGUGACAGCAUAUUUAACAGGACAACAGGGGAACACCAGUCAGGGUCUACACCACUGUUCAUAUUGUGAAGGACUCUGUUCAGCUUGCCAGCCAGGAUACUAUGGACAACACUGUAUGAAACAAUGCAGAGUCUGUGACCAAGACGAGAUGUGUGACCAUCAGAACGGAAACUGCGUCAAGAGAG